AGAAGAGGAAGAGGUGGGGCGGGAAUGACGGACCUGUGGGAAUGAGGUUGAAGGUGCAUAGUGGCGGGGGGUUUUAAGGGCGGCGAUGGACGGAGACAGGUUAUGAUGUGAGAGAACGAGCUAGGGAGAGGGCCCAGAGAUAGGUUGGGAGUAGGGUGGGGGAAACAGUGAUCUAAAGGGACAAGAGGCAGGGGCUUGGAGGAGCAGGGCCGUAAGAAAGAACGCGGCUAACGGGAUGAGAAUGAAGGCGCCAACACACUGCCAAGAUGGAGUGGGAAAAAACUAGAGAGGGAUGAGGCGGAGGGCAAAGGAUCGGAGAGAGGGGAUGAGGAUGGCUAGGGAAGAACGGCAGAAGUUCGGCCCAGAAUAAAGAACAGGGUCAGGACAGAAGACGUGUUUGGAGAGAAGACAGACUUGAGUGGAGGGGAAUGGAGGUGCACUGAGCGGGGAAACCUCCUGGGCUGCUGGAAGGUGGGGACAGGUGGGAGUCUGGCAGAUAACUGCUCACCGUAGAGUCCUUAAAGGACGUGCCCGGAAGAAAGGGCAAGCCAUGCACGGGAUUGGACACCAUUGCAGCCGGUACCACCGCCGCCACCUAGGUCCUGCUUCGUCCUCUCCGGUUGCCCAGGCGACAAGCAGUGUUCGCGGGCACCUCCAGGAUCCAUGGUAACGCUAAACAUCCGGAACUCCCACGAGCGGAAGGCGGGGCCAGGAGGCGCAGGCAUCACAGGAGGUUUGCGCGUGCGCCAUCCGCAGGACUCCGCGUUCUCGCGACACCAACUGAGGAUGGAUGCCAGUCACUGGAGGAAUAUGUCAAGAUGGCAAGUUUGCUGGGUGCGGUGGCUCACGCCUGUAAUCCCAGCACUUUGGGAGGCCGAGGCGGGUGGAUCGCCUGAGGUCAGAGUUUGAGACCAGCCUGGACAACAUAGUGAAACCCCACCUCUACUAAAAAUACAAAAUUAGCUGGGCAUGGGGGCGCAUGCCUGUAAUCCCAGCUACUUGGGAGGCUGAGGCACGAGAAUCGCUUGAACCCGGGAGGUAGAGGUUGCAGUGAGCCGAGAUCGCGCCAUUGCACUCCAGCCUGGGCAACAAGAGCAAAACUCCGUCUCAAAAAAAGGAAAAAAAAAAAAAAAGAUGGCAAGUUUAACCUUUCAAAGAUAAGGCACCUCUCCCACUUCUCUCCACCUCAUUGACGCUGAUUACCCAGAAUCACUGGUUACUGUAAUUUUUGCUGACUCUUCAUGAUAACCUUAAACUGUUAGAAGUUCCAUGAUCCCUCCCUACCCACUCUCUUAUUAAAAGUAAAUUUCAUGGCAUUAGGA